rnacentral:snRNA from 1 species
UUGCUUUGGCAGCACGUAUACUAAAAUUGGAGUGAUACACUGAAGAUUGGCAUAGCCCUUGUGCAAGGAUGAUUUGCAAAUUUGUGAAGCAUUCCAUAGUUUU